rnacentral:rRNA from 1 species
CCUACGGGAGGCAGCAGUGGGGAAUAUUGGUCAAUGGGCGAAAGCCUGAUGGAGCAACGCCGCGUGGGUGAAGAAGGUCUUCGGAUCGUAAAACCCUGUUGUUAGAGAAGUAAGUGCGUGAGAGUAACUGUUCACGUUUCGACGGUAUCUAACCAGAAAGUCACGGUUAACUACGUGCAAGCAGCCGCGGUAAUACGUAGGUGGCAAGAGUUAUCCGGUGUUAUUGGGCGUAAAGGGAACGCAGGCGGUCUUUUAAGUCUGAUGUGAAAGUCUUCGGCUUAACCGGAGUAGUGCAUUGGAUACUGGGAGACUUGAGUACAGAAGAGGAGAGUGGAACUCCAGGUGUAGCGGUGAAAUGCGUAGAUAUAUGGAAGAACUCCAGUGGCGAAAGCGGCUCUCUGGUCUGUAACUGACGCUGAGGUUCGAAAGCGUGGGUAGCAAACAGGAUUAGAUACCCUUGUAGUC